CAGCAUCACAUGACUCUCUUCUUGGCGAAUUUCUGAGAACACCUCCCUCGUUGAAGGUACUGGUUGCCUGCUAAGUAUCCUUUCUCUAACAUCGUCCAAAUUUCGAUGGAUCCCAACCGAAAAUUUAAACAUCCAUUCAUUCUCUAGUUUCUUUUGAUAUCACGCGCAGUUCCCAGGGCAGUCCCACUCUUCUUCUGUACUCAAGUAGAGCUCUUGCCAUAGUGCCACCAUCUCCAACUAAUACUCAGCGACUUCUCCCUUGCAUUAUUUGCCACAAUUUUCUCUUGAUUUCGAAAAUUUGGGAAGCAUUUUCAGAAUCGGAGUAUGUUUCUCCAAUAGCAUCCCAAACAUCCUUUGUGGUUGGUAGGAAUAUAUAAGUUUUUCUGAUGAAGGAGUCAUGGAGUUCACGAAUCACGCAGUCACCAAUGAGUCUUCUGAUUUCCAUCUUUGCAAGCUGACAGAUUCUGUUGAGGCAGGCUUCUUCGUGUCUCAAGUUAGUUCUAGCUGGUUUAAGCUGGAUUACUUCAUUGAUUGAGCUGCAUGAGUUGAUGAUUGCGAAUUGAGGUUUAAUUCGUGAAAAAUUGGUAUCAGAGCAGGCAUACACUACUGGAAAAUUGCUAUUCAAAGUUACUAAAGCCAAAAUUUUGGACGAGCACUUGAAGAAAUUGGAUUUAGAGAUGGUUGAUCUGGGAACUUCAAUUAAGGUCGUUACCAGCUGGUUGGAGAACAAAUUAGCUUCUACAGAUCAAACAUUCUACAGAUCAAACACUUCAGGCAAUGGGUCAUAGACAAAAGAAAUCGAAAAUACUGUACUACAAAUGAACCAAAAGUAUGAAAAACAUGGCCCAGUUGUCUUCGGAUCUUAAAAAUGGGACAGGGGAACCAAAGGAUGGAGGAAUCUGUGGUUGAUGUGAGGAUUGGAGUGGUAAUGUCUACACCAAGAGCUAGUAACACUGGCAGUAGUACAAUUACUAGAUGGGAGUAUAAUGGAAACACCAAGCUUCCUCAAAUUGAUUUUCCCACUUUGGAGAAGAAGGACCCAGGGAAUGGUUUAGGAAGCGAGGAAAUAUUUUCAAAUAUAUCAAGUGCCUGAUGAACUUAGACUAGGAUUGCUGAGAUGUAUUUGAAAGGUAAGGCAGGUAUAUGGUUUGAUAGGUUUAUUUCCGGCCAUCCAGAGACAGAUUGGCGUGUAUUCUCUGAUAAGUUAUGAAAGAGAUUUGCAAAGAGCGCAGGUGAUGAGGUGGUUGAGACCUUCAGUAAGAUCAAACAAUUAGGAACAUUCUCUGAGUAUCAAGAGAGGUUUAAGGAAUUAAAAACCCAAGUGCUGAUGGCAAUGCCUCAUGCUCUAACAUCUUACUAUAUAUGUGUGUUUACUAGUGGUUUGAGAGUGGAAAUCAAAUCCAUGGUUAAGAUGAUGAAACAAAAUACCCUAGCCAAAGCAUUUGAAGUGGCUAGCCUGCAAGAAUCCACCAUCCAAGCUAUUAUCAAAUUCCAAAAACCUAAGAGUUUCUCAUCAAACAAAUGAAACCUCUACCCUUCCAAAUCUCCUGAAGAAACCAAAGAUAAAGAACCAUGACCAAAAAUCAAUAAACCACCAAACAACUACAAAACCAUCACCUCUACUGACUUUCAAACCAAAAAGAACUUGGGACUCUAUUAUAAGUGUGAUGAGAGAUAUACUAUAGGCCAUGUGUGCAAGAAUACGUCCCUUAACUUUAUAUUGUUGGAUAAAGAAGCUAGUCAGGAAAUUGAAUUAUGUCACCGAUGAAGCCAAUAUUAUGACAGUCAGGGUAGCUAAUGGUGACAAAAUAGAAAGCAAUGUUGUAUGCCAACCAUUAGUGUGGAGAGUAAUUGGAAUUCCAGUUCAAGCAAAGGACAUUGAUCUUGCAGGGAGCGAUAUGAUGUUGGGAGUGAAUUGGAUGGGUCAAUUUAGUCUAGUUCUAUUUGAUUUUGUACAUCGAUGUAUUAAAUUCAAGGACAAGAGUGGAGAGGUAGAGUAGAAGAAUGGAAUGCCAAAGUACUAUUGAGAUGUUGGAAAUGGAAGGGAUAGAAAGACUAUUUAGCGGAAGUUCAUAUGGAGUGGUUGGACAAACGUACUCUAUCAGAGAGGAAGAAAAUGGAGAGAUACGAAGCAGGACACUGGAGGUUAUUCAAAAGUUUCCAAAGGUGUUUGAAGAGCAAAGGGGCUACCUCCUCUCAAGCCACAGUACCAUCACAUUCCACUAUAAAAAGAACCUAAGCCAUUUAGAAUCAACCCCUAUAUAGGCCCUUUUAUUUAGAAAAUAGAAACAGAGAAGCUGGCAGUGGAGAUGCGGAGAUACGAAUUAAAUUAACAGUUAAAGGAGAACCUUCCACGGACAAGUGCAAGGAUGAAUCUUUGUGCUUAUAAAAAAAUACCAGAAAGGUCUUUUGGAGUGGAUGAUUGAAUAUUCCUCAAGCUAUAUCCCUAUACUCAAUAUUCAGUGGAACACUGGCCUAACCAUAAACUCAAUGCAAGAUACUUUGGACCGUAUCAGAUUACCAAGAAGUUAGGCACUGUGGCAUACAAAUUGGCACUUCCAACCAGCUCCAAAAUUCAUCCAAUCUUUCAUGUUUCAUUGUUGAAGAAGUUGUUAAGUGACAGGGCAAUGCCAGUACUUCAAUUGCCUCAUGAGUGUAAGUCUAAACUACCAACACAUCAUCCAUCCUACAGUGCAGGACCAUUGCACACAAAAAUAACACCACCAUCUCGUGGCUUAUUCAUUGGUCAGAUUCUACCCUAGAUUGUGCAACAUGGGAAGAUGUGGAUUGGAUCAAAUUGCAUCUUCCUCUCUGUAGAUUUUGGGGACAAGAUCAAUGUGAAGGGAAGGAUUAUCACGUGAAGAGUAAUUGGGAAAGGAAAAGAAUCAGAACCAAAAGAAAUAAGGGGAAAGAAGCAGCCAACAAAAGUAACUGAAAUUCAAAAGCAUGCAAUGUUGUUUAGGUUCGAGUCAUACGAUGCCAUUUUGAUUAAAUGAAAUUGUAAUAAGUUUUAGUUAAAAAACAUUUUCUUUAUUGUGUUUAGUAAUGCAAUUUCUGUAUUGAGCAUAUAGAUACAGAAUGGUGGAAAUAGUUCUUCAGUUUUUGAUCAUUUGACAUUUCAGUAAAUUUGUUGAGAAAUUCAACAACUACUCUCUUCUUAUUCUCUCA